AUUUAGUAAUAGUAAUUAUGACAUAUUAAUUAAUUAAUUACUUGGACGCUGGUGUUAGUGGCGAGUGGUUCACUUACCCUGACUAAUUUGGGUGCUCUGCCUAACUGUAAACAGUGUACCAGCCUAAUCUAACCAUCCCUAAUCCUCCAUAACCUCGCCUAACCCUGAAAGAAAAUGAUGAGUACUGGUUGAACCAUGGCUUGCAUCAUUGAUCCCUGACGAAUGUCCAGUUGUCUCAAGUUUUAAACACAUAACCCUAUACACUCUAUUUCUGAUUAUUAGUACUUGCUACCAUGUACUUGGUAACACUGUUUAUGCAUGGGAUGUCUUUUAACGUGUAAUGUGGUUUUAUCAGUACAUAUUUGCUAGAAUAAUCAGAUGAGAAUCAUUGUCUAGCUUGGUUCAGAGUUCGGACUCAUUUUUGUGCUAGUCUUUACUGCAAGCAUGAUGGAGAAGUGGAAUGAUUCUUGCACAAGAUUUUGGCGAUGGGGCAGCAAGAAACCAAAGUGGGUGGAAAAUGAAUGAUUGAACUUGAACAGAGAUAUGGGGCUGAGUUUAAAGACAUUGAUAAUUCAGAUGCUUUGCUGCAAUGGAGGUGAUGAUGGUGCAGUUUUCCAGCAAGAUGCAGAAACCAGUUCGACAAGAAGUCAAAGUUGAUAUAUCUGAUUAUCACUUGUGAACUUGGAUGUAUUAUUGCCUUUGGAUAUCAUGAACAAUUGACUUUCUUGUUGACUCCCUCUGAGAAGUGGUCUGAAACAUGUAAGAUAACUCAACCAAGGACAAAGAGAGUUGAAGGCAGGUGGCAAAAGAAUGAAUGACUUAGUCAGAAAAUAUGAAUAUGAUCUUUUGAAUAUGAAUGUGGAAGGUAAUUGAUCUUGAUACUAAUGCAAUGCAUUAUGCUGUUUCUAAGUGCCUUGCUUUGAUGAAGGUCAUACUCAUGUACUAUUGUCAUACAAACGCCGAAUACCAGCUAUAGAUGCUGUGAUCAAGUGUUUAUUACUGUAUGAAAUUUUCUACAGUUGUCGUACAUCUAUAUUUUGCAACAUAUAUAGACA